CACAUGCUCAGCUGUCUCUCACUCUGUGACUCACUCUCUCUCUCUUUCUCACUCUCUCACGCCUUUGCCCUCCUCUAGCUCUCUCUCUCUCGCCUUUGUCUCCAUCGUCGUCGGGUACGGGAGCAUCACCGCCAUCGCACAGGAGCACCACCGUCAAUUGAUGGGUCUGCUCAACUAGAACAAGAAGAUGCUUAAACCUACUCAACGUUUGGUUACUCUUGCUAUUCUAAAUCAGACUUAUUCUUCCAAGCAGUCUUCUUCAAAUCCGUUUAUACCUUUCCUUAUAAAUGACCAUUCAAUUUUGAAACGGGAGAGACAAAGGGAAGCCUUCCCAAACUACAUUACUAGAUGUCAAAUAGCUGGUCCAAGGUCUAAGCCAACCCUGCUGUAGAAGAUUAGACAAAUCUCUAGCAAUGGUAGCUCGACCAGACACCCACACCUCACUUGAUUCAUCAUGGUCAUCUUCUUCAGGCAUAGAGUUUUCCCAACAUCGAGUCAUUACUGAAGGAAGAUUUAGGGAUGAUUUCACUUGGGAUUUUGUAUUCAUCUUUUAUGGUUUUUUCUUUGGUAGCUGCAUUGGUGGUUCGAUUUCUAGGGUCGAAAAAUGCUCUUAUUCUUGGGACUACUGAGUAUUGGUUGUUCAUAGCAGUGAAUUUGAUACCAACAUGAUGGUUUUGGACAUACAAACGUGAAUAUGAUUUUUUUUGACAAGUACGGAAGGGCAAACAAAUGUGGAUAUGGUUUUGGACAUACAAAUGUGGAUAUGAUGGUUUUGGACAUACAAACUAAUGAUUUGUAUUAUAUAUAGAAAUGAAAUGAAUGAAAUGAAUGGUUUUGGUUAGUCCUGUAUUAUGUAUGAAAUGAAAUUAUUGACGUUGGAUUAGACUUGGUUCCUAUGAAAUUUGUAUUAUAUAUAGAAUUGGAUGUUCAAUAUUAAUGUUUUGGAUGGUUUGAACUAAAA